rnacentral:lncRNA from 1 species
UACAAUUUAAUUUCAACCCCUUAAAAAAUUUCCUGGUUUCAUGCCUGAUAUCAAGCUUAACAUACACAUACCCAUAAGCACAAAUCCAACAUUGGCAUUCAUAAAUAAAGAUGACCAUUUACAUAUCAAAGACCCUAUAUACAUGCCACGACAUUAGAUAUCAAAAUGAACAUAUUUCUACCAUCUUGAUAAUAGUGUGAUAUCCGCAAAGGUCCGACUUCGCGUGUUCCGCAAUCUAGGGAUCUACAUGUAAUAAAAACAAUCAUAGGUAAGCAUUCAAUGCUUAGUAAGGAAAACAAUUGGGUUGUUACAACUUGUCCCUACCUUUAUGGUAAAUUAUGCUAAUUGAUCUUGAAUUAGACCAAAGAAGGGAUGGCCAUAGUCACCGGGAAAUGGUUUCACUGGCAGCUUUGGUGGUAAUAGUGAAGAAGGUGAAGAAGAAGAAGAAGAAGAGAAGAAGAAGAAGAAGAAGAAGAAGACAUUUUUUAAGGGCUU